rnacentral:ncRNA from 2 species
AUGCGCCGCAGUGCACAAGGUGCCCAUUGCCUGACCGGCAAUGGGUGAAACUGGGAAGCGGGUGCGCGUGCGUUCAUGCACGCAAGGCCCGCGCUGCCCCCGCAACGGUAGGCGUCGUCCCGUGACGCGAGUCCGGAGACCGGCCCUGUGCGUUUUCCAUCU